AUUUUUUUUUCUUCGUUACCCAAGUCUUCACUAGCAGUAGGGAGCUGGACGCUGAAGCACAUGUCGAGCAAUUCGGGCCGAGUGGAGUGAAAAAAUUGACCGGACUGCCACACUGCUGUUCAGAUGGGACUCCGACUGUAACGCUCUUGCGAACGAUGGGCAGCGGAUGGGCUUCCGUAUUGAAGACCCAGUCCUCCAGUGGGAGAAGAUCGUCAUCAGAGAAGAGCAGAUCUGCGGCCGUAUGUCUUGCUGUCAACUGAUCAAUAUCUGGUGUCGGUUGCCGUGAAGGUGGCAUUGAUCCAGAGCAGCAGCAGAAGGAGAGUCUUUAUGACAGCUAAUCCAAGAGCUGCUAAGAACCAUCCAGUCCCUUUUAAUGAGUUAAGAGAAACCUGAUGGAUGAUUAUGAAAGAGAAAGCCAGAGAAGCCUUUUGGGCCUGCAGAUCAAAAGUAUUCCAAGCGUAUCAAGGAACCUGUUAUGUGAUGGGAUUCCUGGAGAGCUCCGACAGAUGGACAAAUUCGAGGUGAAGGGUCCCGAACUCAGCCAGGAUGCUGCUCCCAGCUGAGGCCCAGCCCCAACUCCAACUGGUGCCACUGCAACAAUAACCAAAGAAGUAG